rnacentral:RNase_P_RNA from 1 species
GAAGUCGUCCGGGCGGACGCCGGUGGGUGCAGGAAACGGCCCACGGGAGGCAAAGUCCGGGCUUCGCAGGGCAAGGUGCUGGCUAACGGCCAGGCGGGGCAACCCGACGGAAAGUGGCACAGAAAACAUACCGCCGGUCCUUCCCGGGCCGGUAAGGGUGAAAAGGUGCGGUAAGAGCGCACCGCACCCCUGGUGACAGGGGUGGCAGGCUAAACCCCACCUGAAGCAAGGGCGAAUAGGGAGGCGCCCUCCGAGAGGAGGGCAGGGGCUGCCCGUCCCGAGACCUCCGGGUACGCCCGCUCGAGCCUGUCGGCAACGGCAGGCCUAGACGAAUGUCCGUCUACCGCCGCAAGGCGGGAUCCAGAACCCGGCUUACAGGGCGACUUCGGCA